rfam:Cricetulus griseus cell line CHO-K1, whole genome shotgun sequence.
AGAUAAAUGGCUCAGCAGGUAAGAGCACUGGUGUCUCUUCCAGAGAACCUGGGUUCAAUUCCCAGUAUCCG